GACCCCAUAGCUCAGUGGUAGAGCGUGAGAUUCCAGUUAGCUGUGUUUCCUCAAGGUCAUCCGUUCGAUCCGGGUUGGGGUCA
rnacentral:tRNA from 1 species